rnacentral:rRNA from 1 species
AGGACGAACGCUGGCGGCGUGCUUAACACAUGCAAGUCGAACGGUGAACCUGGCUUCGGCCAGGGGAUCAGUGGCGAACGGGUGAGUAACACGUGAGCAACCUGCCCCUAGCUCUGGGAUGACCCCGGGAAACCGGAGCUAAUACCGGAUACGAGACCGAAUUGCAUGACUCGGUCUGGAAAGUUUUUCGGCUAGGGAUGGGCUCGCGGCCUAUCAGCUUGUUGGUGGGGUAACGGCCUACCAAGGCGACGACGGGUA